rnacentral:rRNA from 1 species
AUUGAACGCUGGCGGCAGGCCUAACACAUGCAAGUCGAGCGAGAGGCGGACGGGUGAGUAAUGUCUGGGAAACUGCCCGAUGGAGGGGGAUAACUACUGGAAACGGUAGCUAAUACCGCAUACCAUCAGAUGUGCCCAGCUGGGAUUUGCUAGGUGGUGGGGUAACGGCUCACCUAGGCGACGAUCCCUAGCUGCACUGAGAGGAUGACCAGCCACACGGGAACUGAGACACGGUCCAGACUCCGACGUGAGGCAGCAGUGGGGAAUAUUGGACAAUGGGCGCAAGCCUGAUGCAGCCAUGCCGCGUCUGUGAAGAAGGCCGUCGGGUUGUAAAGCACUUUCAGCGGGGAGGCGUUACCCGCAGAAGAAGCACCGGCUAACUACGUGCCAGCAGCCGCGGUAAUAC